UAUCAGACUGGAGCAAUUUAAAUGGAGUCCAAGAGUAAUGGGAUUAUUUAAAAGUUACACUAUUGAAGGCAACAGAAAAUUGCAUUAGGCUUGUCAGUAAAAGCAAAAAAUUCAAGAAACCACUGUGGUACUCCACAGAUGUGGCCAAAAUAGUUAAAAACAAAAAGUUAGCAUUUAGGAAUUAUAAAAAAAACCAGAGUGAGGAAGACAAAAUGAUCUAUAAGAUUAGGCACAAAGAGGC